rnacentral:lncRNA from 1 species
ACUGAACAGCUAGAACUUGGAUCGUUUAUGGAUUCUGACCUCAGAUCCCCCUCACUUGACUUACGCCUCAACCGUCAGAGAUGGUUGAGCCCGGCCCUUCUCUUGCAUCUCUAAAGGAACUACGAAGCAGAGAAAAUGGAGACAGGAUUCAUCAGCUCCGUGAAGUUUGGCUUUUUUAAAAAGGGUGCCAACGUCCAAGAGAAAGACAUCACUGGAAAUUCAUCUGGCGCCUUCUUUUGCCUCUUCCAUGCCUCCAUGAAAACCUAGAUCGCUCCAUUUUUCUGGGGUGGGGGGGAAU